rnacentral:misc_RNA from 1 species
AUUUCAUAAUUAUUAAGCUAUCGUUAAAUAUUUAAAUAGUGGCUUUUAAAAAUAAACCUGAUGGAUAUUGGAUUUUAUGCCCUCUAGAAUGAUGCCAAAGUGUAGAGCAUGUCUAAAAUCCUCUAGAAAUAUGAUUCCUCUUGAUGAAAAGUACAUUAUGUAUUUUAAUAUACUUACUAACCUAAAUUUAAAGCUAUCCACUGAUAAUCCAGAACUGCUAUGUAAACAGUGUAGGAAAGCUCUUCAAGAGUUCAUGAAUUUUAGAGAGCAAUGCAUAGCAGCCAAUACAACAUUUGCAGUUGCUCCUCCUUCUGAGAGCUUCAAAGAAGAGGGUGAACUGGAUUAUGAAGUAAAAAUUAAACUGGAGCUGGCAGACCAUGACUAUGAAGAUAAUAAUGAAUCAUUAAUGUUUGAUGAUAGUCUGACAUAUGAGUUAGUUGUGAAGUCUGAAGGAGGAAAUAUAAAAAGCAGAGACCCUAUAAACAAUGAUUGGGUCGAAGAGAGUGAAAAUGUAAUUUCUGAUAUAAAUAGCAUAAAGAAAAACGCCAGUAAACCUACAAGGAAAAAAAAUUGUGUGAAAACCAUCAGAAAACCAACAAGGAAUAAAAAAUGUGUAAAGACUACAAAAAAGAACUCAACUUCAGCUGAAAAAAAUAUUGAUGAAAAAAGAAUUCAAAAGCCGACAGACAAUAGUCUACCAUGUGGUUUGUGCACUAGUACAUUUGAAAAUAAUGAUGAACUACAGUCACAUUUAUCAGAACAUAGGCAAAGCCAGACUUGUCGAAUUUGUGACGAGAAAUUUGUGGACUGGCAAGAAAUAAUGUCGCACAGAAUGGAUCAUUUGCCUUUGGGAAAAGUGCAAUGUCACUUGUGUCCGCAAAAAUACAAAUCUGCGCUACUGAUGGAACUUCAUUUUAGAUCAACUCAUAAUUCAGGUGAAGAUAGGCAAACACUCAGAUGUAGGAUAUGCAAUCGCAAUAAUUUUGAUUCACCAAAGAGAUUACGCGUGCACUACCUUGAUUCUCACAACACUAGAAAUAAAAAGUUUUACUGUGACUACUGUAAUAAAAUGUUCUCAAGAAAACAUGGGUUAAAGAGUCAUAUCGUUUCACAUUUAGAUGAUAAACCUUACGUUUGCGACUUGUGUGACAAGGCUUUCAAAUUGCGCCAUCAAUUAGUGAUUCACAAGAUUAAGCACAUUCCAGAAAGAGUAUACUGCAAGUUGUGUAAAAGACUGUAUGUGUCUCAAAGUGAACUGGACAAACAUGUUUGUAAAUACAGUGCAGUUGUGUGUCCCGUGUGCGGAAAGAUUUGCAAAAAUCGCGGCGAGACGUCACUUUCUGCGUGUGCACGAUAAGGAUAAUUACUACAAAUGCGACCGCUGCCCAAAAACAUACAAAAACAGGCAAAGUCUAGUCGUGCACCAGAAUAAGCACGAUGGCAUCCGCAAGCACGCUUGUGAGUUCUGCUCCGCCAAGUUCUACGACUAUUCAGUGCUCACCAAACAUCGCCGUACACACACCGGUAUAAAGCCGUAUGUUUGUGAGAUAUGUCAAAAAGGCUUCACGGGAAACCAUAAUCUUAAAGUGCACAUGCGAGUGCACGGACAGUUCCUGAUAAACAAAAAACAACCAGACACAGACCUUUCAGUUUU